rnacentral:rRNA from 1 species
CCUUAGAGUUUGAUCCUGGCUCAGAGCGAACGCUGGCGGCAGGCUUAACACAUGCAAGUCGAGCGGGCCCUUCGGGGUCAGCGGCAGACGGGUGAGUAACGCGUGGGAACGUGCCCUUCGGUUCGGAAUAACCCUGGGAAACUAGGGCUAAUACCGGAUACGCCCCUUGGGGGAAAGGUUUACUGCCGAAGGAUCGGCCCGCGUCUGAUUAGCUAGUUGGUGAGGUAACGGCUCACCAAGGCGACGAUCAGUAGCUGGUCUGAGAGGAUGAUCAGCCACACUGGGACUGAGACACGGCCCAGACUCCUACGGGAGGCAGCAGAAGGG